AUUUUUUUUGUCCCUUCCACUUAAUCUACCUUUGUCUUUCUAAUAACAUCCUCUAAUAAUAUCUUCGAUCCCGAUUUAUUUAUAGCUACUGCCCUUUUAUUCAGGUGUUACUGCUGAAAGUGUUCUAAAAUUGAGUCCACUUACCUGGAAGGUGCCAGGGUGUUUGAACAUCAGACAACUCCUCUGAGUGUGGGGUGCCCAUGAGCUGGUGGGGAGCAGAUCUCUGACAGAAUCAGCUUUCACUGGAUGAGUUCUGUAUGAAGCCAACACAGCUUGACUGAAGGACAAAAGUCUUCCCACCACAUCCACAGGGACUCCUUUGGACCAGCAGGAGGCAGAAAAUGUGAGGCUGAGGCUCAGCCUAACUGGAGUCCUCUCUGAAGACAACACUCCCACUGUCACCAAACUGCAGGAGGGAAAAGGUGGUGGAGUCUGAUUCUGUGACCAUGCCUACAGCCACAGAGGGGAGCAAACAGGAGGAAAUCUGCCACAACCUUCAGAACAUCAUUAACGCUCCCUGCAGCCACUUUGCCUCAUCUACAAAACAGCAUUUAUGAAUUUUCUCUGCUUCCUAAAGAUAUUCUGAAGGUGUAGUUCAGCUGAAGACAGUGACUUGAAGAGGAGUGUGUUUUCACUCUGUCAAACAUUAUCAUUUGCUAUAAACUGUAGUUUUGGGAGUUUUAAAAUCUUGCUCACAAUGCAUUGACUGAAGAACUGAUUAAGUAUGCAGUGAAGAGUGCAGUGACUUCUCUUCAGAGCAUGUUUCCAUUGGAACAUCAGAACUAUUAUAGCUGUCUCAGUAAUAUACAGGCUUGACAUAUAUGGGAUCAUUAAGGAUUUACAUCUUAGUAAUGGAUUGAGAGCACACUCUUUCUGGACUCUCUUGUCACUAGUAUUACACUGAAAAAAAUCCCCUGGUGAUUUGUUUAUAUAUGUUAAUACUGAUUUUAAAAGAUACUCAAGCACUAGACAAAGUAAUUUUAUUGCUUGACACAAAGAGAUUGCCUCAAUUUCUUUAAUGCUCCAACUGUAAUGAUUUGUUCCUAAGGACUGAAGAUUACAAACACUGUCCCUACAGACUAAUUAAUAUUUUCUUUAACCAGGUACUUUCAGGCUUUUAUUUAUUAUCUGAAGCAGUUUGUGGUGGGAGUCACAGGCACUGCAAAGUGAAUAUUCCUGUCAUCAAUGACUCCCAGCCUCCAGCAGCUGUGAGUUAGUGAGAAGUCUGUGGUGUUCCCCCAGGCCCCUGCAGCUGAAUCUAAGCAAUAG